rnacentral:rRNA from 1 species
GACGAACGCUGGCGGCGUGCUUAACACAUGCAAGUCGAACGGAAAGGCCCUGCUUUUGUGGGGUGCUCGAGUGGCGAACGGGUGAGUAACACGUGAGUAACCUGCCCUUGACUUUGGGAUAACUUCAGGAAACUGGGGCUAAUACCGGAUAGGAGCUCCUGCUGCAUGGUGGGGGUUGGAAAGUUUCGGCGGUUGGGGAUGGACUCGCGGCUUAUCAGCUUGUUGGUGGGGUAGUGGCUUACCAAGGCUUUGACGGGUAGCCGGCCUGAGAGGGUGACCGGCCACACUGGAACUGAGACACGGACCAGAGUCCUACGGGAGGCAGCAGUAGGGAAUCGUCCGCAAUGGGCGAAAGCCUGACGGAGCAGCGGCGCGUGAGUGAUGAAGGCCUUGGGUGCGUAAAGACCUGUUAUUGGGGAAGAACAAAUUUGUAAUUAGACGUGCACGUCUUGACGGUACCGGAUCAGAAAGCCACGGCUAACUACGUG